UUCCUUUCUUUUCUAUGUAUUGAGAAAUUGAAUGAUUUGCUUUCCUCAGAGAUCGACUUUAUGAUUUCAUGAUCAUGUGGUUAAACUUCCUGGUGAAUGAGAUGCUGCCCAGAGGCCAUGUUAUUCUCCGUGACGCGGCAGAAUGUGGAUCACCACGUAGAAACCUGAGAAAGUACAUUCAUUUGUUAAGUUAUAAUUUCAGAAACCAUGAACCACAGACUGUGCUUGGGACUCCCUCUUCAUGUCUACUUUUACUUCAUCUACACACCCAUUACCCCAAGUGGAGGUUCUCAUUCCUUCUACCCUUUCAUCUCUGUUCUGCUCACUUAAGAAGCCGGAGGAGAUUUUUCUCCUAUAUCCUGUGGGAACCUGGUUGAGCUCCUGGAUGUAAAUCUCGGGUUCUUUCCAUGGUUUUUGCUUGUGAAUCUCUGCUCUGGGAAAACCCCCAGAUACUCUCAAAAAGAAGUGAAAGGAGAACUCAAGGAUACAAGUUUGCAGAUGCCCAUGAAGACUCGGAUUUGUUCUUUGGAAGACUUCUAUCCAAGUACAAAAUCAAGUAAGUGAGCAGAUCAUGUCAAAUAACCAGUGCAUUUGUUUUAAGUGUUUAGUCAAUUGGGUUUAAACUCAUGUUCGCAUACCAAUGGGAGUUCAAAGUCAUGAAAAAUCCUUGCCAACCCAAAUGGUUAAUUCCAAUUAUAAAAUUUCAAGUAAAUAACACAAAGGAGACAUUUAAUCUAACCACCUGUGUCCCAUUCUUUAAAACAAACCAUAAAAAAUAAAAAUAAAUAAAACAAAGCAGAAAAGGCCAAAAAAAUAACCAAAAACAAAAAACAAAAAAACAAAAAAAAACCCUCCAAAACCAAAAUCCCUAGGAGGAAAUUUCAGAAUCUUUAUAGAGUUUAAAAGUGAGGUUUUAGUAGGGCAUUUAUUGCAUUAUAUUCUCUCAUGUUACU